rnacentral:rRNA from 1 species
AACGCGAAGAACCUUACCAGGUCUUGACAUCCUCUGACAACCCUAGAGAUAGGGCUUCCCCUUCGGGGGCAGAGUGACAGGUGGUGCAUGGUUGUCGUCAGCUCGUGUCGUGAGAUGUUGGGUUAAGUCCCGCAACGAGCGCAACCCUUGAUUUUAGUUGCCAGCAUUCAGUUGGGCACUCUAAGGUGACUGCCGGUGACAAACCGGAGGAAGGUGGGGAUGACGUCAAAUCAUCAUGCCCCUUAUGACCUGGGCUACACACGUGCUACAAUGGGCAGAACAAAGGGCAGCGAAGCCGCGAGGCUAAGCCAAUCCCACAAAUCUGUUCUCAGUUCGGAUCGCAGUCUGCAACUCGACUGCGUGAAGCUGGAAUCGCUAGUAAUCGCGGAUCAGCAUGCC